CUGACAUCUUCCCCUGGGCUGGUCUCUUUUCCGCCUGUUGUUGAGCUGCAAGGAGGAUGUUUGGCUUUCUAACGCUCAUAAAUAAAAUGUGUAAUGCUGGAAGUUUAAAUAUGGGCACUCUAAAACCGCCUUGAUUGAAUGGAUGCGGAUUGUGUGGAUUGUCUUCACUACAAAUGAAUCCUGGAAGGAAAAUCCAGCUUGAACAUCAGCUCCAGCAGGUCACCGCUUACAGGCUGUGACUGGACCGGAUCAACCUUGGAUUAAUCCCAGACUAGGGGAUGGAGGAUGAAGAUUCAGUGACGUCCUUGAUGGAAAAGGAUGCUCAAUUGUGAAAGGAAGAAUGGUCACUGAGUCAUGUGACUGCUAUUAUUGCUUAUUUCAUUAAUGUAUGAAGGCUGUAUAAAUAAAGCUAUUAAUCAAAA